rnacentral:rRNA from 1 species
GUGGGGAAUAUUGGACAAUGGGCGAAAGCCUGAUCCAGCAAUGCCGCGUGAGUGAUGAAGGCCCUAGGGUUGUAAAGCUCUUUUACCCGGGAUGAUAAUGACAGUACCGGGAGAAUAAGCUCCGGCUAACUCCGUGCCAGCAGCCGCGGUAAUACGGAGGGAGCUAGCGUUGUUCGGAAUUACUGGGCGUAAAGCGCGCGUAGGCGGUUUUUUAAGUCAGAGGUGAAAGCCAGGGGCGCAACCCCGGAAUUGCCUUUGAAACUGGAAAACUUGAAUCUUGGAGAGGUCAGUGGAAUUCCGAGUGUAGAGGUGAAAUUCGUAGAUAUUCGGAAGAACACCAGUGGCGAAGGCGACUGACUGGACAAGUAUUGACGCUGAGGUGCGAAAGCGUGGGGAGCAAACAGGAUUAGAUACCCCAGUAGUCC